ensembl:lncRNA
UGUGGUGGCAGUUCCCUUUCUUUCACAGUGUUGGCUGUUGAAAAAGAGAGAGUUUUGUGUUUUGAGGUUGUGUCUCUUGAACUAGGAAUUUUCCAUACCUCCCUGGAAAUUGUUGCAAGAAACUUUUAAAGCAAACUCUGGAAACAUAGCCCAAAAAUGUGCAUGGGAAUGGAGUAAGAAGGCUAACAGAGGCAGUGAGUGCCUGGCCUGACUUCAGGUGUCGUCAAAGCUGCCAUUGACUUCAGGAGGCCUUAAGUCAGGGCUGAAGUGAACAUUCCAGAAGGUGCCAGCUAAGAGUCACCUACAGCUACUAACAGAGCUAUCCUACUCUUCUCUCAACCUGUCAGAACAGGAGCCUGGGAGGUCAUAAAGUCACAGGACGGCCCCUAAGGACCACUGAGUCCCAGGAGUUCCAUAGAUGCUGAGCUGCUUUUGGAGUUCAGCUGAUUUUACUGUAUCCGUUUUCCCUCCCUGAACGUGAAGUCCAGGAGCCAAGAGCCAUAUUUUUUCGCCAAGACAAAUGUGGCCAAACGUUUUCAUGGUUUCAUUAGUCCAAUGUGCAAACGUAACGUGUCUCCAGAUACAGUGCUGUGAUUACAGUAUUACAUCCAAAGAUCAUUAGAGGAGUGAUUCCUACUGAACUUCGGGGGAAAAGAAAGAGGCAAAAUAUCAAGACCUUUUGUGUUUCUCAGAAUUACUCAUGAAACUUCUCCAGAGAAGAUCUCUGUCGUAGAUGGAAUUGAACAGAAAAGUGAUGAGUCUGAGUAGCCGAUCACCUCAGAACCUGUAGCGAUAACACUAGGCUCCCUUUUUAUAUAUCAUUCCUGCAUGUGUGAUGCUGAGGGUUAGAAAGUGAACAUUGUUCGUGAGCAGAUUAUUCUCUAUCUCUGUAACUGAAGCUGUACCUUAUUUUUCAUUCUUUCAUAGCCCGCACUCCUUAACAUGCUUUUCCUUAAGGCCUUUUCUCUGGUAGUUGAAGAAGGAGACUGAUAUGCGUAUAAAAACCAGAGGAGAUGGUACAGAGCCCAGAGCGUGGCCUAUGGCAUGCUACUGUCAGCAAGGAAGACUGUUAGGAGCCAGCCUGUGGUACAACAAAAACAACAAGAACAAUGCAAAACUCCAAAGGGAGUCCUUGAGUCCUUGUGGAUGCAUCAAGACUAACCAGAGUCAGAAGCAUUACUUGUUGCACUGUGAUGGUGACCUACUGUGUUGUACCUCCUCUGACUGGUGAUGCACUGGAACAGGUUGCCCAAGGAGGCUGUGGAUGCCCCAUCCCUGCAGGCAUUCAAGGCCAGGCUGGAUGUGGCUCUGGGCAGCCUGGUCUGCUGGUUGGCGACCCUGCACAUAGCAGGGGGUUGGAACUGGAUGGGCAUUGUGGUCCUUUUCAACCCAGGCCAUUCUGUGAUUCUAUCAUUCUGUGAGUCAGCUGGGGGUUGUGCAGGCUCGCACAACUGUGGACUGAGACAAAAAGGCUAAGAGAGAUCUAAUUGGUAAAUUCUGUUAUUGUUUUCAGCAAAACAUUCAGAUAAUCGAGCUAAAGCAUGCAGCUGUGCUCACACAAGCACAAUUCUUGAUAAAAACUUUCUGUGUUUUUCUCCAGAAAAUAUUUGCAUUUUUCUCCUCUUCCCCAUAGUAUCAUUAAUUUGAAUUAAAUAAUAUAUCAAACCAGGCGAACAAGUUACUAUUUAUCAUCAUUUUAAUUUUAAAAUGUUUACUCUAAGCCAGCUUCCAUGCUGGAGUGGAUGAUUGGAGCCCAUUUCUCACUCCCCAGGACGAGGCAUGGGUGUACUCAUAAGAGUUCAAUGUAGGACCAUAACAAUGAUUAGGAACUAGAGCACCUCUCUUGCAAGGAGAAGCUGAGAGAGCUGGAACUGAACACCCAAGGGAGGAUCUUGCCAGGAAGUACAAAUACCCAUAGGGAGGGUGCAGGGAGGACAGAGCCAGGCUCCUUUCAAGGGUGGGAUGAGAGGCAGUGGGCACAAAGGGGAGGACAGGAGGUUCCCUCUGACCACCAGGCAACACUUCUGUGCUGUAGGGGUGAUCAAACCCUGGCACAGGCUGCCCAGAGGCUGCGGGGUCUCCUCCUUCUGGAGGUGUUCAGAAGCUGCCUGGAGUGAUGCUGGGCACCCUGCUCUGCGUGUCCCUGCUUCAUCAUGGCUUAGGCCACGUGGACACACAGCUCCCUGCCAGCCUCGACCGUCCUCUGCUUCCAUUAACCUGUUUUCACCAUGGGUAUGAACUGCUGUCACCUGCUGCGUAUGGCCCUUUCUGUUGAUAAAAUACAUCAUAAUGUGAUUUCCCAGCGUGUCCAACUGUGUUGUAUGAUUCAUCCACCAGAAGAAAUAUCAGAAUUAUUGCCAUAUGCACUCUGUCUUUAAUCUUACAAAAAUAAACUCUGAAGCCAUUGAGGGUGUAGCAAAUUGCUCAGUUGCCCAAAAUAGAACAGUGAUGUGGUAUCCCCUUCUUCAUCACGCAACAGUAACUGAACAAUUCUCUGCUAGUAAUUAAUACAGGAAAAAAAAAAAAAGAGCAUAAAAGAAAAGAAAGGCAAAACUUCUGUGGAGGUAAUUAAGAAAAGAUUUUGCAACAUGCAGUUAAACCCCCAAAUCUUAAAUGUCCCAGCCUCAGAGUCAGCUCCAAGAACAACACUGUACUUCAUGAUCUAGCUGCUACAAACAGGACUUUCAGUGGGCUUACCAAAGACCCAAAGACUCUUUUCAUCAAACUCAAGGGAACCGGCAGGGAAAACUGAUUAACUUUUGGACCACUUUCCACUGAAUGAGUUUCUACUGUGAAAUUCAUAAAACAAACAGCCUGAAUGCUUCAGUUCUGUGGCUACCACCAGUUGGGGUUCAUAAGACUACUAUAUAGUUUUUCUCAUGUUUUAAAUGAAGCUGUCAUCCUUUUGCUUCAUCCUCUCUGUAAGAAUGUCACUCAUUCAUUGGGAGUUAUUACUGCAAUACAUGCUGUGUACUUUGUGCAAUAGGCUGUGACAGCAAAAUAAUAUCCAGGACUCUUGGAUCUUGCCCCCCAGAGCUGUGUAUUUUGAUAGGAAGAUGCUCCUGCUGCACUGGAAGAAAAAUUUGUCUUACGAUGGUCUAUAGGUUGCUGUUUGACUUUCUUUUCCAGGGUUAGGCAUUCUGGUUAUUUCGGUGUCAUAACAGAAGCAAGUCUAGAGGUGAAGGACAGAAUCAAAAUCAGUAUGGAUAUUAACAUUACAGGUCGUACGGUAUAUCGAUUUUCUAUCUGAAGUCUAUGCCCAUACUUCCUCCAUGUAGGAUCAAGGCCUGUUUUUUUAACUGGCUUGGUUUCAUCAUUUGGAGGAUGCCCCAUGGGCUGUGUUAAUGAUAUUCAUAAGAGGCUCUGGAGAAAAACACUGUAAGGGAGAAGCCAAGUGCCACUAUUUCUUUCCACCUUGUUCUUAAUGUUUAUUCUUGGCCAAAUCCCCCCUGAAAUGUUAAUGGAAUAAAAUCUGAGUAAAACUUCAGUGAUGUCUUUGGUACCUCACCUUUCUAUUUAUUUUCUGAUAGCACAUAAUUGUUGGCUGGACAAGAACAGGUUCCUGUUACAUUACCAAUUACCUGGCGAAAUUAUCCUAUGUACGUGACAGCUGAAGCCCUGAAGGGCAUAGCACUUCUGCAAACCCUUUUUUGGAAGACGUACUCAAAAAUGAGUGUUCUGGGCUGCAUGUUAAAUGCUGUUUGAGGACUGCUUGACUGUACGUACGCUUACAAGUUUGGACUAUAUAAAUGUGUGCAGAGAUGUUUCGAAACGAGCCAGAUCUGCUUAUUAUUCCAGCUUAAUUGCCGGGCGGGCAGACUGCCCUACUCUCUUGUAACUUUUUAUUGCAAGGAAGCUGUCUAAUCUGGCUCUUCCUCCACCAACAGAGCUUUUGUGAACUGUUCACAUUCUGCUUUGAGAACAGAAUUAAGAUCACUGGGAGUCAGCUGCCCUCUAGCAAACCUGCCAACACUAACAAUUCCAUAAUUCCAAAUACUGAGCCUGUCACAAUUCUCAGGCUACAAACACUUUCGGCAUUUAAUGCUCCAAAGCCUCAGGGCACUAUUAUGUUUUGCCAGAUCUUUGGUCUAAGCAGUUACAGUUUUUCUUAAUUCUCUAAUCCCUCUGGGUUCUCACGUUGUUAAUCUUUCUUUGAUGAUGGAGAAAUUCUUAUUAAUGACACAAAGUAAAACAAUUAUCAGUCCAGUUUCAAAGGAAAGAAAGAAUCUGUUAGCAGUAGAAGAUCCAGCAAGUUUUCCAUCUAACAUUCAAUCAUCAUUCCUUUUUUUUUUUUUCCUUUUUAGUGAUUGGAACACGUUGCAACUGUGGUGAUCUCUUUCAAAGAAGUAUCUGGGCUUCCUCUACGGCUGGAUCCCCUGAAACAGUACUCUCAAGUGUUUAUUUUGAUCUUCAUACCCUGAACCGAUCAUAACUUUUUUUGGCUGCUGCUGCUUGGCCUCUCUCUUUGGCAUCGUUUUGAUCUUAAUAUAAUAUUAGGUCUCUUGGCAACCCGGAUUGAGAUCUAUUACACACACAGCCAUUGUGCCUUUCUUUCUUUCUCUUUCUCUCGCACAUCUGUUCACAAAUACAGGCAGUCAAGGGUAUCUUGUAUAUAAUAUCACACAAAAAAAGGCAAGUGGAAGUGCACUGAUAGUUAAUACUCAUCUCUCUUGGCAAGUGCGUGAGUUAAUUCACUGUAAUUCAAUUAAUGGAUGCAACUUCUACCACCUAGACCAUUUUUCAUUAGAAGGAAUAAGUCCUUACAAAGAUGCGUAAGAACCAGCAUCUCCGUUGCACGCAGGAAAGUUGGCCUGUUACACUGGUAGCUGAUCUGGGCACAGAAACCAAGAUCUCAGCAUUAUAGGCCCAUGGCAAAAGAAGCAUCGUUGCUGAAGUCCCUUGGCUUUUCAGCCAUCCUGUCUCAAUCUAUUUAUACGGCACGGUUUGGUGGUCAGUGUUCAGGAUAUAAGCAGGAUUAGUUCCUGUUUCUUUUAAUCUCUGCCUGUCUCAGCGCAAAUCUUGCCUGUUAGUUUGCAAAAUGCUCAGUUCCACGCCAACUUACUUGCAUAGCACUGUCAAUUGGGUGUUCAUUUGCCCAGAUGAACAUUAAUGCUGCACACCCGGGUGGGCCUGGUUGGGUGUUCAGGUGUUUGGCCACCCCAUUUCUCAGCACAGUGUCUGUUAGCUCUGGUUCGUCGCUCAGCUCUUCCUGAAAGGUGAAUCUAAGACAUGUAAAGCUCAAUCACUCAUCUUCAGUUCCAGGAAAGAACUGCUUCUGAGUCUGCAUUCUUUACUGGUGCUUGAGGGAUUCCUGUCUCAUAAAUCCAGUAUCCGGAAUAACUUGAGAUUGCCUGGGAUACCGCAAUAAGUAACGUGACUUUCCUCAAAAAGAAAGUGAAAUUUUUCACAAGGUGAGAAAAAAGAAGCUUUGAUUCCAUUCUUCCCUGGUGCUUCCCAGAGGCUUUUGGGGAAUAUAUGAAAUAUUACCGGUGUGUUUAAUCCAGAUAUAUUUUAGAUGCGUGCAUCCGUCAAGACCUCAAGGUAUCAAAUAGCGGUGCUUCUAUUUCAAUUGGCAUUAUGUGGGAAGUUGUUGAAAAUAUGGCCCUUUGGUGACUGCAACUGUGAUGUAAUGGAAAGGUCUUUGUUUUGAUAUCUCUUAGGUUUUCUGUGUUCCAUCUGUUCUUUUUGAGGGCCUUCAAUACAGACAGUUGUGAAAACCUAACCUGUGGCUGCUGUUCUUUUCUUUGAAUCACACCUUAUCACAGACAAUAAAGAUUAAAGAAUCUGAGGUUAGCCAAUCAAUCUGCUUAUCUUAUAUAAAUGGAAAGGUAUCUAGCUCGUUCUCCCACAGCUGUGUUUAUUCUGCACAGCUACCAGGAAUUAAAAGUGGCUGAAAAGAAAUGUAUUCUAAUUGUAGAAAAACAGAAGAAGGGAAAGCAGCAAUGACUCAGUGCACACCGGCAGUAAGGCCUGUUAGCUGGUGCCAUUCUUACACAGUCACUCUUGCUGACCUCAGCCACUUUGAAUUUCAACAGCCAGUUGUACCAGUUGUGAUGCAAAAG